AGUGGCGGACGGGUGAGUAACGCGUAGGUAUCUAUCCAUGGGUGGGGGAUAACACUGGGAAACUGGUGCUAAUACCGCAUGACACCUGAGGGUCAAAGGCGCAAGUCGCCUGUGGAGGAGCCUGCGUUUGAUUAGCUAGUUGGUGGGGUAAAGGCCUACCAAGGCGAUGAUCAAUAGCUGGUUUGAGAGGAUGAUCAGCCAUACUGGGACUGAGACACGGCCCAGACUCC
rnacentral:rRNA from 1 species